CCUACGGGCGGCAGCAGUAGGGAAUCUUUCGCAAUGGAGGAAAGCCUGAUGCAGCAACGCCGCGUGAGUGAGGAAGGAUUUCGGAUUGUAAAACUCUAUCGUCAGAGAAGAAAAAGACGGUAACUGACUGAGAAGCCCCGGAUAACUACGUGCCAGCAGCCGAGGGAAUACGUAGGGGGCAAACGUUAUCCGGAUUGACUGGGCGUAAAGCGAGCGUAGACGGCUAAUCAAGUCAGAAGUGAAAACCCAGGGCUCAACCUUGGGACGGCAUUUGAAACUGAGUAGCUUGAGUGCAGGAGAGGUAAGUGGAAUUCCUAGUGUAGCGGUGAAAUGCGUAGAUAUUAGGAGGAACACCAGUGGCGAAGGCGGCUCACUGGACUGUAACUGACGCUGAGGCUCGAAAGCGUGGGGAGCAAACAGGAUUAGAUACCCUUGUAGUC
rnacentral:rRNA from 1 species